rnacentral:rRNA from 1 species
UACGGAGGGUGCGAGCGUUGUCCGGAAUCACUGGGCGUAAAGGGCGCGUAGGCGGCAUGCCAAGCGUGUGGUGAAAGCCCGGGGCUCAACCCCGGGUCGGCCGUGCGGACUGGCGUGCUUGAGCACUGUAGGGGCGGGUGGAAUUCCGGGUGUAGCGGUGGAAUGCGUAGAGAUCCGGAGGAACACCAGUGGCGAAGGCGACACGCUGGGCCGUACCUGACGCUAAAGCGCGACAGCAUGGGGAGCAAACGGG